rnacentral:rRNA from 1 species
GAUCCUACGGGACGCAGCAGUGGGGAAUAUUGCACAAUGGGGGAAACCCUGAUGCAGCGACGCCGCGUGAGUGAAGAAGUAUUUCGGUACGUAAAGCUCUAUCAGCAGGGAAGAAAAAAAGUCCUUUGGACCUUGGACGGUACCUGACCAAGAAGCCCCGGCUAACUACGUGCCAGCAGCCGCGGUAAUACGUAGGGGGCAAGCGUUAUCCGGAUUUACUGGGUGUAAAGGGAGCGUAGGCGGUAAGGCAAGUCUGAUGUGAAAGGCCAGGGCUCAACCCUAGGACUGCAUUGGAAACUGUUUAA